GUGGGGUUGUGGCUCAGAGGUAUAAUGCUUGCCUAGCAUGCAUGAGGCACUGGGUUCGAUACUCAGCACCACA
rnacentral:tRNA from 1 species